rnacentral:lncRNA from 10 species
GCUGUAGACCGGAGCUGUUCCUAUUCGGCCAUCUUGGCUCUCCCUUAGUCUAGAUUGCAGCUAAUCUUCCCCUUACAUGACACCUACAAGUUAAACAAACUGCAACUAGGAAGAUCGUGAUCAUUUGACUAGGACCUGGAUUGUUUGAGAGAGGCAGUCUAAAAUUCUUGGAAUGAAAUUCUCAGAUUAGAACGCAUCAGACCUCUCUUAGUUCUCAUGGAGUAUGUAGAGGCCAUGAUGAACUGAAGAUUUCUCUCUGGUGUGGAUAUGUUUUCUCUUUUACCUCUGAACUUCUACAUCAAGACUUCGUGUGAAUGAGCUCUGCUUUUGAGGAUUCAUGACUCUUUUCCUCCAUGAUUUGAAAAUGUAUAUUCAAAAGAUUAAAAGAUGGAGCUGGCCGAGUGAGGUGGCUCAUGCCUGUAAUCCCAGCACUGUGGGAGGCCGAAGCAGGUGGAUCACUUGAGGUCAGCAGUUCAAGACCACCCUGGCCAACAUGGUGAAACCCUGCCUCUACUAAAAAUACAGAAAUUAGCCAAGUGCAAUGGCAGGCACCUGUAAUCCCAGCUACUCGGGAAGCUGAGGAUGGAGAAUCACUUGAACCCUGGAGGCAGAGGUUGCAGUGAACUGAGAUCACACCACAGCACUCCAGUCUGGGUGACUCAGUCUUGAAAAAUGAAAUGAAAUAAAAUAAAAUAAAAGAUAGAGCUGGAGUUUUGCUGGUUACUAUUAUUUAAUCAGAGGACAUAUCACCCUCCUCACAAAGGUGAGAAUCACACAGUCCCAGGAGGUUGUUUGGGCACCAGCUACAGGCCCACAGUCACCGUCAGCAAAAUCAAAUGUGUGUGUUACACACAGACGUCUCAUCUCCAUGGGCUUAUAGACACCAGGCUAGGCAACUAAAAGGGAAAAGUAUUUUUUAUUUUUAUUUUGUUUCUUCCAAGUUAAAGCAUGCUUUUCCUGUUUAUAAAACUUCUGUUUUUGGAAACACUUCUCACUGUACUUUACCAUGAGCAAGGUAAGAUAAGUUUUAUAAGUAGGAAAGCAUGCUUUUAUUUUUGUUUUUAUUUUAUACAAGUAAAGAAGAAAAUAAAAGCAAAACAAAAAUUUAUCUCUCUCAAGUGUCUACUCUCAAUGUUUUGUGCUUGCCACACCCCAUAGUCUAUACACAUACAUACUUACAAAGAGGAUUGUUCACCUGUGGGCUUGUUUAACAUACAUUUAUUUUAUAAUGUAUCAUAUAUAUCUUUUCAUAAUUUUUAAAAAAUUAUCUCUUCACUAUAAUGACUACAUAUGUUUGCAUUCUGGGGUGUUAAUUUAAUUUAAUUAGCAAAUCAUUUAUCAAUGCAUAUUUACUGUGACUAUGAUUGUUUAUAUUUUAACUAAUGUUGUGAUGACAUUCUUGUGUAUAUUUUGUUGCAAUACAUUUCCCAAAGGACAAUUUUUCAGCCUUAGGUUUUUCACAUUUCAUAUCUCUGAGACUGUGCUCCAUAAAGCUAUAUGGAUUUGGAUCCCCGUUAGAGACGUGUCUACACUCAUUUCUGAUAAAUGCACACAGGUAUCUCCAGGACUUAUGCCCUGCCCAGAAUACACUGGUUUUCUAUAAAUACUGUUGAAUGAAUAAAUGUAUCUUUAACAUUACCAUGGUGUUUUUUAACCUCUGUCAACAUGAGAAGCAAAACCUACCUCCUUGUUUUAAUUUACAUUUGUUUAAUUGCCUGUGAGGCCCAACAUCUUUUCAUAAAUGCCUGGCUAAUUUGUGUAUUUAUUUUUCCUCUUGUGAACUGCCUACUCAUUUUCUUUUGAUGUUAUUGAUGUGUAGGAUUCUCCUUGUUGACUUGUAAGAAUAAUUUAGAAACUAGUGAGUAAAUCUUUGUUUUGUGUGUCAAUUUUUUUUCAAUUAUUUGCUUGUCUUUUAUUGUUUGGUUGCUUUUACCUUAGGUAAAAAGGUAAGUGUUAUGUCUUUCUCCAGGUUUAAUUUAUUUAUUUUUUUGGAGGAGGGAUAUUCUGGGUCUUUACUACAUAACCCACCUCUACUCCAAAAGCAUAAUUUUUCACUAUUUUUAUAAACAUUAAUAUAUGUCCCAAACAUAAUUUUUGUCCUCAUUUUUUUAGAACACAGAACAACACACAGUUUUAGAACAUAAAGCAUAAAAUUUUUGAGUGUAUUAGUCUGUUCUCAUGCUGCUUAUAAAGACAUACCCAAGACUGGGUAAUUUAUAAAGAAAAGAGGUUUAAUGGACUCACAGUUCCACAUGGCUGGGGGAGCCUCACAAUCAUGGCAGAAGACGAAUGCGGAGCAGAGUCACAUCUUACAUGGCUGCAGGCAAUAGAGAUUGUGUAGGGGAACUGCCCUUUAUAAAACCAUCAGAUCUCGUGAGACUUAUUCACUAUCAAGAGAACAGCAGGGAAAAGACCUGCCCCAUGAUUCAAUUACCUCCCACUGGGUCCCUCCCACAACAUGUGGGGAUUAUGGGAGCUACAAUUCAAGAUGAAGUUUUGGGGGGGACACAGCCAGACCACAUCAAAGGGUCUUCAUUUGAAUUGUUUUCCACAUGAGGAUGAGAAGAUUUCUAUUUUUUUAAUUUAAAUACUAGUCAGCUGAGUAUUUUUUACUCAGUAUCAUUUACUGAAAACCUAACUUUUCCCCAGAGUUGAAAGGACAUCUCUGUUAAAUAUGAGAUUUGCAUAUAAAACUGGAUAAAGCUUAAACUCUGAAUUCUCUUCUUCUUAUCCCCCCAUCUAUUGCUAGGCCUGUAACAUACCCUACCAUUUGAAUUAUUUACCUUUCAAGUGCAUUUUAUGUUUUCUUAAUUUAUAUGGUCCUCUUUAUGCUUCCUUGCAUAAUUCCCACUCCCAUUUUUGUAUAUUUAUUUUCUGGAUAAGCUUUAGAAUAAUUGCUGUUGUGUUUUAAAAUAUUGGUGGAACUUUAUUAAGAUGCUAUUGAAUAUAUGAAUUAAAUUGGGAAGACUUGUCAUCUUAAUGAAAUAGAAUCUUCCCAUCUAAGAAGCAGGUAUGAUUUUCAAUAUUUCAUCAUAUGUUUAUACAUACAACAUGGCUUUUAAAUUUCAUUUCAGGAAAGUAUAGAAAUAUGGGCUGACUUGCUAUCAUUUUUUUUUUUUUUGAGAUGGAGUUUCAUUCUUGUUGCCCAAGCUGGAGUGUAAUGGCGUGAUCUUGGCUCACUGCAACCUCGGCCUCCCAGGUUCAAGCAAUUCUCCUGCUUCAGCCUUCUGAGUAGCUAGGAUUACAGGCAUGCGCCACCACAGAUGACUAAUUUUGUAUUUUUAGUAGAGACAGGGUUUCUCCAUGUUGGUCAGGCUGGUCUCGAACUCCCAACCUCAGGUGAUCCACCCGCCUUGGCCUCCCAAAAUGCUGGGAUUAUAGCCAUGAGCCACCGCGCCCGGCCCAAGAGUUGCUAUCUUAAUGAAAUAUAACCUUCCCAUCUAAGAAGCAGAGUUUUGCUCGGUCACUCACGGCAACCUCCGCCUCCUGGGUUCAAGCAGUUCUCCUGCCUCAGUCUCCCGAGUAGCUGGGACUCUACAGGCAUCCCCCAUCAGGGCUUGAAAACAGAAAUCCUGCCAAGUCCCACGUUUUCUUCGGUUCCAAGCACAGAGAGACAUUUGUCUAUUGCAGAAACAGAAGCGAUGCUUAUCCUGCGAGGUGUAUGUGUUAAU